rnacentral:rRNA from 1 species
GAUCAUGGCUCAGGAUGAACGCUGGCGGCGUGCUUAACACAUGCAAGUCGAACGAGAAAUACUUUAUUGAAACUUCGGUGGAUUUAAUUUAUUUCUAGUGGCGGACGGGUGAGUAACGCGUGGGUAACCUGCCUUAUACUGGGGGAUAACAGCCAGAAAUGGCUGCUAAUACCGCAUAAGCGCACAGAACCGCAUGGUUCGGUGUGAAAAACUCCGGUGGUAUAAGAUGGACCCGCGUUGGAUUAGCUAGUUGG